rnacentral:lncRNA from 1 species
CAGACGGGUGCAUCCCUGGCAGGCGCCACCCUCCUCUCUGCAGGGUCGGGCGGCCUCUUCGGGGAGAGCAGUCACUCGCUGAGGGGAUCCGCAGUUUCCGGUGACGACCCUCCAGUGUUCUGAUAGCCUCAGUCUACACUGUGUCAGAAAGCGCUGGGGGAACUGUGUUUCUUGCAGACAGAGGCUGGGCAGAGUGCGGACCCUUGCAAGCGGAAGCCCUGUGAGAUAAGUGUUGGACGAUCACAGCCGAUCAGCAGGAGGCGGCAGGCGCCGGAUCAGAAUCAGAGCGGUUCGCUCUGGGAAGCCGGUGUUACAGUUCAGGACUAGAAGAAAUGAGUCUUGGUAUAAUACCGUGCAAAGAAAACUUUAGAAAGAC